CCUACGGGAGGCAGCAGUGGGGAAUCUUGCGCAAUGGGCGAAAGCCUGACGCAGCCAUGCCGCGUGAAUGAUGAAGGUCUUAGGAUUGUAAAAUUCUUUCACCGGGGACGAUAAUGACGGUACCCGGAGAAGAAGCCCCGGCUAACUUCGUGCCAGCAGCCGCGGUAAUACGAAGGGGGCUAGCGUUGCUCGGAAUUACUGGGCGUAAAGGGAGCGUAGGCGGAUAGUUUAGUCAGAGGUGAAAGCCCAGGGCUCAACCUUGGAAUUGCCUUUGAUACUGGCUAUCUUGAGUACGGAAGAGGUAUGUGGAACUCCGAGUGUAGAGGUGAAAUUCGUAGAUAUUCGGAAGAACACCAGUGGCGAAGGCGACAUACUGGUCCGUUACUGACGCUGAGGCUCGAAAGCGUGGGGAGCAAACAGGAUUAGAUACCCUGGUAGUCCACGCUGUAAACGAUGAGUGNUAGUUGUCGCAUGCAUGCAUGUCGGUGACGCAGACUACGACAUAAGCACUCCGCCGUGGGAGGUACGGUCGCGAAGAAUUAAACUACAAUAGUAAGUUAGACGGCGUGAGACGUGACCGACGGACGACGACGAGGGAGGAGG
rnacentral:rRNA from 1 species